rnacentral:rRNA from 1 species
AUUGAACGCUGGCGGCAGGCCUAACACAUGCAAGUCGAACGAGCGGCGGACGGGUGAGUAAUGUCUGGGAAACUGCCCGAUGGAGGGGGAUAACUACUGGAAACGGUAGCUAAUACCGCAUACUAUCAGAUGAGCCCAGAUGGGAUUAGCUAGUAGGUGGGGUAACGGCUCACCAAGGCGACGAUCUCUAGCUGGUCUGAGAGGAUGAUCAGCCACACUUGGACUGAGACACGGACCAGACUCCGACGUGAGGCAGCAGUGGGGAAUAUUGCACAAUGGGCGCAAGCCUGAUGCAGCCAUGCCGCGUGUAUGAAGAAGGCCUUCGGGUUGUAAAGUACGUUCAGCGGGGAGGCGUUACCCGCAGAAGAAGCACCGGCUAACUCCGUGCCAGCAGCCGCGGUAAUUA